rnacentral:rRNA from 6 species
AAAUUGAAGAGUUUGAUCAUGGCUCAGAUUGAACGCUGGCGGCAGGCCUAACACAUGCAAGUCGAACGGUAACAGGAAGCAGCUUGCUGCUUUGCUGACGAGUGGCGGACGGGUGAGUAAUGUCUGGGAAACUGCCUGAUGGAGGGGGAUAACUACUGGAAACGGUGGCUAAUACCGCAUAACGUCGCAAGA